GGCGGGAACGUGCCAUCGACAAGAUGGAGGAAGGUGGGGAGUGACGUCAAGUCAUCAUGGCCCUUAUGUCCAGGGCGACACACGUGCUACAAUGGCCGGCACAGCGGGAAGCGAGGCAGUGAUGCCGAGCGGAUCCCUUAAAGACCGGUCUCAGUUCGGAUUGAAGUCUGCAACUCGACUUCAUGAAGCUGGAAUCGCUAGUAAUCGCAGAUCAGCCAAGCUGCGGUGAAUACGUUCCCGGGCCUU
rnacentral:rRNA from 1 species